CUUCUAUGGAUGGAGAGAGGUAAAAUAAAAUUUGGAUUGUCAAUAGUUAGCUUAUUCUCCUGGUAUUGAUUGUAUUUGCUUAGGAGUGUCAACGCUUACUCAAAGUUCCCUGUGUUGCUUCUGUGAUUUCCUUCUGUCUUUUUCUUCUCUCCAGCCAAAAGGAUCAGCCUCGGCAAGACUCUUCCUCAUGCAGCAUCCACUAAGGGACCCUGCUUCGCUAACAGAUCAUUCCUGGGAGAUGAUUCCUCCUUCUUCCUCGUUUCUUCUGGGUCCAGGAAAUGAAAACAAACACAGUAAACUACACACUUAAGGACAGAAGGAGAAAAUUCUUCACCUGUUGGCUCAUUUUAGCAAAAAUCAACUCCUUUGAUUCAAGAAUGUUUGGACGGUUUGCAGCUCAUGAAGCCCCGCAUUUUUUUGUGAUGUUUUGUAAAUUAUGCAUCAUCUCUGGUAGAUCCCUGUCAAAGACUUAAGGUUUCACAUGGACUGCCGUGGUCAACAUGUGCCUCACACAAAAAUAGCUGAAGAGGGAAAAAAAUACCUGGACCGUUUGUAAAGAUGGAGCAUGAUUAGCAGAAUAGUGUAAGAGUGUGGACUCUGGUUGACACCCCG
rnacentral:lncRNA from 1 species